rnacentral:rRNA from 1 species
GUUUGAUCCUGGCUCAGGAUGAACGCUAGCUACAGGCUUAACACAUGCAAGUCGAGGGGUAGCAGGGUAGCAAUACCGCUGACGACCGGCGCACGGGUGAGUAACACGUAUCCAACCUACCAUUCACACGGGGAUAGCCUUUCGAAAGAAAGAUUAAUACCCGAUAGUAUAACGAUAAGGCAUCUUAUUGUUAUUAAGGAAUUUCGGUGUUUGAUGGGGAUGCGUUCCAUUAGAUUGUUGGUGAGGUAACGGCUCACCAAGUCUUCGAUGGAUAGGGGUUCUGAGAGGAAGGUCCCCCACAUUGGAACUGAGACACGGUCCAAACUCCUACGGGAGGCAGCAGUGAGGAAUAUUGGUCAAUGGACGAGAGUCUGAACCAGCCAAGUAGCGUGAAGGAUGAAGGCCCUAUGGGUCGUAAACUUCUUUUAUAGGGGAAUAAAGUGCGGAACGUGUUCCGCUUUGUAUGUACCCUACGAAUAAGGAUCGGCUAACUCCGUGCCAGCAGCCGCGGUAAUACGGAGGAUCCGAGCGUUAUCCGGAUUUAUUGGGUUUAAAGGGAGCGUAGGUGGAUAUAUAAGUCAGUUGUGAAAGUUUGCGGCUCAACCGUAAAAUUGCAGUUGAUACUGUAUGUCUUGAGUGUACAAGAGGUAGGCGGAAUUCGUGGUGUAG